rnacentral:rRNA from 1 species
CCGAUCUUAACACCCGAAGUCGGUGGGGUAACCCUUACGGGAGCCAGCCGCCGAAGGUGGGACAGAUGAUUGGGGUGAAGUCGUAACAAGGUAGCCGUAUCGGAAGGUGCGGCUGGAUCACCUCCUUU